UACGAAGGGGACUAGCGUUGUUCGGAAUCACUGGGCGUAAAGCGCACGUAGGCGGCUAUUCAAGUCGGGGGUGAAAGCCCGGGGCUCAACCCCGGAACUGCCCUCGAAACUAGGUAGCUAGAAUCUUGGAGAGGUCAGUGGAAUUCCGAAGUGUAGAGGUGAAAUUCGUAGAUAUUCGGAAGAACACCAGUGGCGAAGGCGACUGGACUGGACAAGUAUUGACGCUGAGGUGACGAAAGGCGUGGGGAGCAAACAGG
rnacentral:rRNA from 1 species